rnacentral:rRNA from 1 species
UACGAAGGGGGCUAGCGUUGCUCGGAAUCACUGGGCGUAAAGGGUUCGUAGGCGGUGUGGCAAGUCGGGAGUGAAAUCUCUGGGCUCAACCCAGAGUCUGCUUCCGAAACUGCUGUGCUUGAGUGUGGGAGAGGCGCGUGGAAUUGCAGGUGUAGCGGUGAAAUGCGUAGAUAUCUGCAGGAACACCCGUGGCGAAAGCGGCGCGCUGGACCACUACUGACGCUGAGGAACGAAAGCUAGGGGAGCAAACAGG